rnacentral:rRNA from 1 species
GAUGAACGCUGGCGGCAUGCCUAACACAUGCAAGUCGAUCGGUAAGGCUCUUCGGAGUACACGAGAGGCGGACGGCUGAGUAACGCGUAGGAACACACCCUGCGGUGAGGGAUAAGACACCGAAAGGUGUUCUAAUACCGCAUACGGUCUUCGGAUUAAAGCAUUUAUGCGCUGAAGGAGUGGCCUGCGUCAUAUUAGAUAGUUGGUGAGGUAAUGGCUCACCAAGUCGAUGAUGUGUAGCUGGUCUGAGAGGAUGAUCAGCCAGACUGGAACUGAGACACGGUCCAGACUCCUACGGGAGGCAGCAGUGAGGAAUAUUUCACAAUGAGCGAAAGCUUGAUGGAGCAAUGCCGCGUGCAGGAUGAAGGCCCUCGGGUUGUAAACUGCUUUUAUAAGAGAAGAUUAUGACGGUAACUUAUGAAUAAGGGACGGCUAACUACGUGC